GACGAACGCUGGCGGCGUGCUUAACACAUGCAAGUCGAACGGAAAGGCCCUGCUUUUGUGGGGUGCUCGAGUGGCGAACGGGUGAGUAACACGUGAGUAACCUGCCCUUGACUUUGGGAUAACUUCAGGAAACUGGGGCUAAUACCGGAUAGGAGCUCCUGCUGCAUGGUGGGGGUUGGAAAGUUUCGGCGGUUGGGGAUGGACUCGCGGCUUAUCAGCUUGUUGGUGGGGUAGUGGCUUACCAAGGCUUUGACGGGUAGCCGGCCUGAGAGGGUGACCGGCGACAUUGGGACUGAGGUACGGCCCAGACUCCUACGGGAGGCAGCAGUGGGGAAUAUUGCACAAUGGGCGGAAGCCUGAUGCAGCAACGCCGCGUGCGGGAUGACGGCCUUCGGGUUGUAAACCGCUUUCGCCUGUGACGAAGCGUGAGUGACGGUAAUGGGUAAAGAAGCAACGGCUAACUACGUG
rnacentral:rRNA from 1 species